GUGCCCGUAGCUCAGCUGGAUAGAGCAGCGGUUUUCUAAACCGCUGGUCGGGGGUUCGAGUCCCUCCGGGCACGCCA
rnacentral:tRNA from 1 species